rnacentral:rRNA from 1 species
UACGAAGGGGGCUAGCGUUGCUCGGAAUCACUGGGCGUAAAACGCACGUAGGCGGAUUGCUAAGUCAGGGGUGAAAUCCUGGAGCUCAACUCCAGAACUGCCUUCGAUACUGCGGGUCUCGAGUCCGGGAGAGGUGAGUGGAAUUCCUAGUGUAGAGGUGAAAUUCGUAGAUAUUAGGAAGAACACCAGUGGCGAAGGCGGCUCACUGGCCCGGUACUGACGCUGAGGCGCGAAAGCGUGGGGAGCAAACAGG